UGGCGAUGAUUAAAUAUUUAUCCGCGCUUCUGAGAGAAAUCGAUGAAGCAUAAAAGGAUGGUUGAAUUUCUUGAUAUGAGCCG